UACAGAGGGUGCGAGCGUUGUUCGGAAUUAUUGGGCGUAAAGCGCAUGUAGGCGGUCUGUUAAGUCGCGUGUGAAAUCCCCAGGCUCAACCUGGGAAGUGCGCGCGAAACUGGCGGACUUGAGUGCUGGAGAGGGUGGCGGAAUUCCCGGUGUAGAGGUGAAAUUCGUAGAUAUGGGGAGGAACACCGGUGGCGAAGGCGGCCACCUGGACGGUAACUGACGCUGAGACGCGAAAGCGUGGGGAGCAAACAGG
rnacentral:rRNA from 1 species